ACUCUGGAGUCGCAGUUAGCUGCUGUGAGGAAGGGCAGGAAGGUCAAUGAGGAGGAGAUCCCACCUCCAGUGGCCUUAGGCAAGAGGCCCCCAGCCUCCCAGGAAACAGCUAACAGGAGUUCUCAGGCAGACACCCCAGCUCCCCCUGCCUUGGAGCCAGGUAUCUGGAGACCCAAAACCUGCCCAGUUCCCAGGGCCAGCACCCAAUGCCUGCCUCCCCAGCCUGCCCUGCCCAUUGCCAUCAGUCACCUUCGUCAACAUGUCCUCAGGCCUGUGAGACCUGUGAGCAGUGGGACCCUCUGUGGGGCCUUUUUGUUUCCUACAGACAAUGCCUCCCACUCUGAGUCCAGCCUCUUGGGCAGUCCUGGCAUUGCUACCCUUCCGGAUGCAGACCCAGACCCCCGGGCCCUGCUAUUGGCACGACAGAGAGAGUACAAAGUGGCUGCCCUCAACGCCAAGCGGGCUGGAGAGCUGGACCGUGCCCGAGAGCUCAUGAGGAUCGGGAAGCGAUUUGGUGCUGUCCUGGAAGCCCUGGAGAAGGGGCAGCCUGUGGACCUGAGUGCCAUGCCCCCAGUACCUGACGACCUGAAGACUCCUUCACAGGUUGCUGAGGCUCCCGAAGCACCCUCAGUCCCACCCCCAGCAGUGGAACGAGUACAGCCGGUGAUGGCUUCUGACAUCCCAUCAGCCCCAGGUAGGAUCUGAUGGUGGGACUGGGGAGUGGGAACAUGGGGAGGGACACGCGGAGCUGAUGCCCUCCCUUUAUCCCCUUUAAGUGAUCCCUGCAGAGCCACAGACGGUGCUGGAUGCCCUGCAGCAAAGGCUGAACAAGUACCGAGAGGCAGGCACCCAGGCACGGGCCAGUGGGAAUGAGCGCAAGGCCCGGAUGCAUGAGCGCAUCGCCAAGGUGGGACUGGGGAGUGGGAACAUGGGGAGGGACACGCGGAGCUGAUGCCCUCCCUUUAUCCCCUUUAAGUGAUCCCUGCAGAGCCACAGACGGUGCUGGAUGCCCUGCAGCAAAGGCUGAACAAGUACCGAGAGGCAGGCACCCAGGCACGGGCCAGUGGGAAUGAGCGCAAGGCCCGGAUGCAUGAGCGCAUCGCCAAGGUGGGCCCAUGACUCGGCGCCCUGCUGCCCUGUUCUG
rnacentral:lncRNA from 1 species